AACGAACGCUGGCGGCGUGCUUAACACAUGCAAGUCGAACGAGAAUUUCUGAUUUCGGUUAGAAUAGUAAAGUGGCGCACGGGUGAGUAACGCGUGGAUAAUCUACCCUUUAGUCUGGGAUAACUUUGCGAAAGUGAAACUAAUACUGGAUAUUGCCACAGUGACUUUUGGUUAUAGUGGUGAAAGAUGACCUCUUUGAUAAAGUUGUUGCUGAGGGAUGAGUCCGCGUACCAUUAGCUAGUUGGUGGGGUAACUGCCUACCAAGGCAACGAUGGUUAGCUGGUCUGAGAGGAUGAUCAGCCACACUGGAACUGACACACGGUCCAGACUCCUACGGGAGGCAGCAGUGAGGAAUUUUGCGCAAUGGGGGCAACCCUGACGCAGCAACGCCGCGUGAGUGAAGAAGGCCUUCGGGUUGUAAAGCUCUGUCAAUUGGGAAAAAUGGUAUAUGUUUAAUAUAUGUGUACUUUGAUGGUACCAUUGAAGGAAGCACCGGCUAACUCCGUGCCAGCAGCCGCCGUGUAAAAC
rnacentral:rRNA from 1 species